rnacentral:rRNA from 1 species
CCUACGGGAGGCAGCAGUAGGGAAUCUUCCACAAUGGGCGAAAGCCUGAUGGAGCAACGCCGCGUGGGUGAAGAAGGUCUUCGGAUCGUAAAACCCUUUUGUUAGAGAAGAAAGUGCGUGAGAGUAACUGUUCACGUUUCGACGGUAUCUAAACAGAAAGCCACGGCUAACUACGUGCCAGCAGCCGCGGUAAUCCGUAGGUGGCAAGCGUUAUCCGGAUUUAUUGGGCGUAAAGGGAACGCAGGCGGUCUUUUAAGUCUGAUGUGAAAGCCUUCGGCUUAACCGGAGUAGUGCAUUGGAGACUGGGAGACUUGAGUGCAGUAGAGGGGAGUGGAACUCCAGGUGUAGCGGUGAAAUGCGUAGAUAUAUGGAAGAACACCAGUGGCGAAAGCGGCUCACUGGUCUGUAACUGACGCUGAGGUUCGAAAGCGUGGGGAGCAAACAGGAUUAGAUACCCCAGUAGUC